rnacentral:rRNA from 1 species
CCCAGACUCCUACGGGAGGCAGCAGUGGGGGAUAUUGCACAAUGGGGGGAACCCUGAUGCAGCGACGCCGCGUGGGUGAAGGAGCGUUUCGGCGCGUAAAGCCCUAUCGGCAGGGAAGAAGGAGGACGGUACCUGACUAAGAAGCCCCGGCUAACUACGUGCCAGCAGCCGCGGUAAUACGUAGGGGGCAAGCGUUAUCCGGAUUUACUGGGUGUAAAGGGGGCGCAGACGGCAGCGCAAGCCAGGAGUGAAAGCCCGGGGCCCAACCCCGGGACUGCUCUUGGAACUGCGCGGCUGGAGUGCGGGAGGGGCAGGCGGAAUUCCUGGUGUAGCGGUGAAAUGCGUAGAUAUUAGGAGGAACACCAGUGGCGAAGGCGGCCUGCUGGACUGCAACUGACGUUGAGGCCCGAAAGCGUGGGGAGCAAACAGGAUUAGAUACCCGUGUA